rnacentral:rRNA from 1 species
GACGAACGCUGGCGGCGUGCUUAACACAUGCAAGUCGAACGGAAAGGCCCUGCUUUUGUGGGGUGCUCGAGUGGCGAACGGGUGAGUAACACGCGAGUAACCUGCCCUUGACUUUGGGAUAACUUCAGGAAACUGGGGCUAAUACCGGAUAGGAGCUCCUGCUGCAUGGUGGGGGUUGGAAAGUUUCGGCGGUUGGGGAUGGACUCGCAGCUUAUCAGCUUGUUGGUGGGGUAGUGGCUUACCAAGGCUUUGACGGGUAGCCGGCCUGAGAGGGUGACCGGCCACAUGGGGACUGAGGUACGGCGCAGACUCCUACGGUAGGCAGCAGUGGGGAAUAUUGCACAAUGGGCGGAAGCCUGAUGCAGCAACGCCGCGUGCGUGAUGACGGCCUUCGGGUUGUAAACCGCUUUCGCCUGUGACGAAGCGUGAGUGACGGUAAUGGGUAAAGAAGCACCGGCUAACUACGUG